ensembl:lncRNA
UACUGUAAUGGUUUGCCAUGCCCUCCUCCAGGGGAUCAUCCUGACCCAGGGAUAGAACACAUAUCUCUAAUGUCUCCUGCACUGGCAGAUGGGUUCUUUACCACUAGUGCCACCUGGGAAGCCUCUAUUUACAUUAUAAGUAAGGACAAAGCUAGGAUUUGAACCCUGGCCUGAAUGACUUUUCAAAAUCCAUGCUGGUACUGAUAUGCUACUCUAUGUUCUGCAUAACAAGAAAGAAUUAUGAUCGCCCUGAUCUCCAAGGAGCUUUGUAUUUGUAAUCAUGAAUUUAUUCACACAACAAAUUAUGUAAUUCCUAACAUGGACAAGGACAUUUGAGUAAAGAUCAGAAUAAUGAGAAGGAUGAAGCCAUAAAAAGAUCCAAAAAAACAUCAUUCCAUGAAGAAGAAAAAGUACCAAGCAAACCACCGUUUGGGGUGUUAUUGAGAUGUGCACCUGAAAUGAACUAACCCACCUGAUCGUGGCAGCUGGGUUCUCAUUCCCAG